UGGUUCUGUGCUCCCACUGAAGCAGUUGGGGGAACAGCGAUGGUUUGGCUGUUGGAUUUAUAUCACGAGAGGACCACGGUGACCACACUUGUACAACAUCCAGGGCGAAGGAUUUGGUCACUGCCUUCUCCAAGGCACGAGGUCAUGGGGUCAGGAGCGGCUGAAGGCAAAAUUUGCAAAAUUGAGGACUCCCAUUUGCUUCUACGCAGCUCUCUGAGGGGGACUUUGGCCAAAAGAUGUUUACAAAGAUCCAGUCAUCAGAACAAAAAGUGGUUCAAAGGCACCAUGUAUUGAAAAUAAAGACUAUUUGCCAUGUAAUGUCAAUCUAACCUCUACUCUGAUUAGUCCUUAAACUACGUUAGAUCUCAUAUCAUUUUGUAUUUUUGGGCUUUUCUUAAAUCUCUGAAAUUGUUGCAGUUUUAUUUAUUUUAUUUAUCGGGGAUUAAAAAUGUAUAUUAUUAGAAUGUCUCCAAUUUGACAAUUUGUUGGGGUUUAGCAAGUUACAUUUUCUAGAUUUUGAUUGAAUCUAGUGAUUAAAUUACAGGAAAUUCCAAAGUACUGGCAGCCACAACUUUCUCAGUCAAGGUGUAAAGAUGAAACUAUAGAGGAUGGAGGAAUUUAUUGCAUUAUUGCUGACAAGAAUCCUGCAUUGAAUAGUCCUUGCUAUAAAAAAUCGUGACUGCCAAUGUUGGAUUUCUACUGCUGCUCCAGAGGAAUUUAUUUCAAUCAGGUUUGUCUUUAAUAAUGCAACAAGAAACUUUUUUUUUUAUUUUAGCUAAGCAGAUUUAGCUUCUUAUUUGAAAGUUACAUUCCCAUGAUUUCAAAGUCUAUAUAGUACUCAGUUCUUUUCUUAGGGCUUAAGAUGAAAGGAACAAUUGUCGUAGACUUGGCUGUUUUGUCAACCCUUAAUCCUGCAGAGUCUCCUGGAGAUGGUCAAGUGUCAUCUCCUUAUCCUCACCUGAAGGGAGAGCAUCGGGGCUCCGCGGAUGGCCUCCUGCUCUUCCCCACUUACCCACACUCCCUUGGCUCAUGGCUAUACAACUUCUUCUAUCUCUGGUACUUUUCCUUACUUUAUCAUACAGUACACUUGUUCUCUGCUCACAUACCGAAAAGUGUCGCAUAAACUUUGAGGUUCCUAUUAGCAGUGGAUUAUUAUACAUACUAUAUAUGUUUUUAGCUCACUUGCAAAACUGAUACACUGCUUUAUACCUUUAAGUCGUUCAUCUAUACUGCAUCUGCAGUCAAGUCUACGCUGAUGACAACAGCUAAAACAUAUAAUAUUAGUGAAAUGUUGAAAUUUACGUACUGUACAAUGUAUGGAGACUUGAAUUUCAUGGUUGGUUAUGCUAGCAUUUUUUGUUUUAAUUUUAAUGUAAAUUUAAUGUUUUAAUUUUUUGCCAAAAAUGACCUAGUAACACCUGAACGUAGUAAUUAUAAAAUACUCAGUACUUCCAGUACUCUGGGUGUAAUAACCAUAUUUUUCAUCUGUUUGUGGACAUGCAUGUAUACGGUGUAAAUGA